rnacentral:rRNA from 1 species
ACGGGGUGCAGCAGGCGCGAAAACUUCACAAUGUGCGAAAGCACGAUGAGGGAAUCCCAAGUGCUUGCACGUAAGUGUAAGCUGUUUCUAUGUUUAAAACGCAUUGAGAGUAAGGGCUGGGUAAGACGGGUGCCAGCCGCCGCGGUAAUACCUGCAGCUCGAGUGGUGGCCGCUAUUAUUGGGCCUAAAACGUCCGUAGCCGGUUUAAUAAAUGCCUGGGUAAAUCGUGUAGCUUAACUAUACGAAUUCCGGGUAGACUGUUAAGCUUGAGAUCGGGAGAAGUUAGAGGUACUCCUGGGGUAGAGGUGAAAUUCUGUAAUCCUAGGGGGACCACCAGUGGCGAAGGCGUCUAACUAGAACGAGUCUGACGGUGAGGGACGAAGCCCUGGGGCGCGAACCGGAUUAGAUACCCGGGUAGUCCAGGGUGUAAACGCUGCUUGCUUGAUGUUAGUCGGGCUUCGAGCCCGAUUAGUGUCGGAAAGAAGUUGUUAAGCAAGCUGCCUGGAAGUACGUCGCAAGAC